GUGUUGCUAUAUUACCGACAGUUUUCAAGAAGCACCAGCACCAAGAGAAGCAGUGGCAAGCCUUCACCACAACACUCCACCUGCCUAAUCUUCGUCUAUUAAAGUUUGGUGAGAUGAUAAAGACUAUAUAUGGAUGUCCUGCCGCCACUGUUCCCGGGGUUUUCUCCGGGCCGCCUUCCCCCGGCGGUCCCCUAGCCAUCGCCCUACCCCCGCCAUCACCCUUCUAUCGCCAGCCUGCUGGGUCAAAUACUUUUUUUUCGAAUAUUUCCUGACGGCUCAGACGUGUGGAUGGAAGGAGGAGGAGGAAGAAGAAGGAGUAACAAUGGAGAAG